UACGUAGGAGGCAAGCGUUGUCCGGAAUUACUGGGUGUAAAGCGCGUGUAGGCGGCAGGCCAAGUCUGUGGUGAAAUCGCUCGGCUCAACUGGGCGGGGUCCAUGGAAACUGGUCAGCUGGAGGACGGUAGAGGUGAGUGGAAUUCCCGGUGUAGUGGUGAAAUGCGUAGAGAUCGGGAGGAACACCCGUGGCGAAGGCGGCUCACUGGGCCGGUCCUGACGCUGAGGCGCGAAAGCCAGGGGAGCGAACGGG
rnacentral:rRNA from 1 species